rnacentral:rRNA from 1 species
GACGAACGCUGGCGGCGUGCUUAACACAUGCAAGUCGAACGGUAAGGCUCCAGCUUGCUGGGGUACACGAGUGGCGAACGGGUGAGUAACACGUGGGUGACCUGCCCUGCACUUCGGGAUAAGCCUGGGAAACUGGGUCUAAUACCGGAUAGGACCGCACCGUGAGGGUGUGGGGGAAAGUUGUUUCGGUGUGGGAUGGGCCCGCGGCCUAUCAGCUUGUUGGUGGGGUAAUGGCCUACCAAGGCGGCGACGGGUAGCCGGCCUGAGAGGGUGGACGGCCACAUUGGGACUGAGACACGGCCCAGACUCCUACGGGAGGCAGCAGUGGGGAAUAUUGCACAAUGGGCGGAAGCCUGAUGCAGCGACGCCGCGUGGGGGAUGACGGCCUUCGGGUUGUAAACUCCUUUCACCAUCGACGAAGGGUUUCUGACGGUAGAUGGAGAAGAAGCACCGGCUAACUACGUG